rnacentral:rRNA from 1 species
GAUGAACGCUGGCGGCGUGCCUAAUACAUGCGAGUCGAGCGAACGGACGAGAAGCUUGCUUCUCUGAUGUUAGCGGCGGACGGGUGAGUAACACGUGGAUAACCUACCUAUAAGACUGGGAUAACUUCGGGAAACCGGAGCUAACACCGGAUAAUAUUUUGAACCGCAUGGUUCAAAAGUGAAAGACGGUCUUGCUGUCACUUAUAGAUGGAUCCGCGCUGCAUUAGCUAGUUGGUAAGGUAACGGCUUACCAAGGCAACGAUGCAUAGCCGACCUGAGAGGGUGAUCGGCCACACUGGAACUGAGACACGGUCCAGACUCCUACGGGAGGCAGCAGUAGGGAAUCUUCCGCAAUGGGCGAAAGCCUGACGGAGCAACGCCGCGUGAGUGAUGAAGGUCUUCGGAUCGUAAAACUCUGUUAUUAGGGAAGAACAUAUGUGUAAGUAACUGUGCACAUCUUGACGGUACCUAAUCAGAAAGCCACGGCUAACUACGUG